rnacentral:rRNA from 1 species
GGAAUUGACGGGGGCCGCACAAGCGGUGGAGCAUGUGGUUCAAUUCGAUGCAACGCGAAAAACCUUACCUGGGUUUGACAUCCUUUGACAGUCCCUGAAAGGGGAUCUUCCCGAUUUAUCGGGACAAAGUGACAGGUGCUGCAUGGCUGUCGUCAGCUCGUGUCGUGAGAUGUUGGGUUAAGUCCCGCAACGAGCGCAACCCUUGUCUUUAGUUGCCAAUAUUAAGUUAGGCACUCUAAUGAUACUGCCCCGGUUAACGGGGAGGAAGGUGGGGAUGACGUCAAGUCCUCAUGGCCUUUAUACCCAGGGCUACACACGUGCUACAAUGGGCUAUACAAAGGGCUGCCACUCUGCAAAGAGGAGCUAAUCCCAAAAAGUAGUCCUAAGUUCGGAUUGGAGUCUGCAACUCGACUCCAUGAAGCUGGAAUCGCUAGUAACCGUGGAUCAGCAUGCCACGGUGAAUACGUUCCCGGGCCUUGUCCCCACCGCCCGUCACACCACGAAAGUU